rnacentral:rRNA from 1 species
AUUGAACGCUGGCGGCAUGCUUUACACAUGCAAGUCGAACGGCAGCACGGGUGCUUGCACCUGGUGGCGAGUGGCGAACGGGUGAGUAAUACAUCGGAACGUGCCCAGUAGUGGGGGAUAACACUUCGAAAGAAGUGCUAAUACCGCAUGAGACCUACGGGAGAAAGCAGGGGACCUUCGGGCCUUGUGCUACUGGAGCGGCUGAUGACAGAUUAGGUAGUUGGUGGGGUAAAGGCCUACCAAGCCCGCGAUCUGUAGCUGGUCUGAGAGGAUGAUCAGCCACACUGGGACUGAGACACGGCCCAGACUCCUACGGGAGGCAGCAGUGGGGAAUUUUGGACAAUGGGGGCAACCCUGAUCCAGCCAUGCCGCGUGCAGGAAGAAGGCCUUCGGGUUGUAAACUGCUUUUGUCAGGGAAGAAAAGCGAAGGGCUAAUACCCCUUUGUGCUGACGGUACCUGAAGAAUAAGCACCGGCUAACUACGUGCCAGCCGCCGCAGUAACAC